GGGAUUAUAGUUCAAUUUGGUUAGAGCGCCGUCCUGUCACGGCGGAAGUUGCGGGUUCGAACCCCGUUAAUCCCG
rnacentral:tRNA from 1 species